CUCUGAAGAGGACAGUAUAUCAGUUGCAGAGGUUGGCACAGAGAGCAAUGCCGGAACUGAAAAGGCAUGAGACGAGUACCCGCCAAGGAAAUUGUGAGCAAAAGUGACACAUCUUUCUUUUGGAUCAAGGGAGGCAGAACAGACAGGAAGCAAAGGUGUGUCCAGACAGAGCGGAAAUGCCUG